CCUACGGGGGGCAGCAGUAGGGAAUCUUUCACAAUGGGCGAAAGCCUGAUGGAGCAACGCCGCGUGCAGGAUGAAGGCCUUCGGGUUGUAAACUUCUUUUAUACGCGAGAAAUAUGAUGGUACCUUAUGAAUAAUGGUCGGCUAACUACGUGCCAGCAGCCGCGGUCAUACGGAGGAUCCGAGCAUUAUCCGGAGUAACUGGGUGUAAAGAGUUGCGUAGGUGGCAUAAUAAGUAGCUAGUGAAAUUUGGUGGUUCAACCAUUCAGGCUAUUAGCUAAACUGUUAGGCUCGAGACCGUUAGGGGGAACUGGAAUUGCUAGUGUAGGAGUGAAAUGCAUAGAUAUUAGAAGGAACACCAGUAGCGUAGGCAGGUUGUUGGGACGGUUCUGACACUAAGGCACGAAAGCGUAGGGAGCAAACGGGAUUAGAUACCCGAGUAGUC
rnacentral:rRNA from 1 species